rnacentral:rRNA from 1 species
GACGAACGCUGGCGGCGUGCUUAACACAUGCAAGUCGAACGGAAAGGCCCUGCUUUUGUGGGGUGCUCGAGUGGCGAACGGGUGAGUAACACGUGAGUAACCUGCCCUUGACUUUGGGAUAACUUCAGGAAACUGGGGCUAAUACCGGAUAGGAGCUCCUGCUGCAUGGUGGGGGUUGGAAAGUUUCGGCGGUUGGGGAUGGACUCGCGGCUUAUCAGCUUGUUGGUGGGGUAGUGGCUUACCAAGGCUUUGACGGGUAGCCGGCCUGAGAGGGUGACCGGCCACAUUGGGACGGAGAUACGGCCCAGACUCCUACGGGAGGCAGCAGUGGGGAAUAUUGCACAAUGGGCGGAAGCCUGAUGCAGCAACGCCGCGUGCGGGAUGACGGCCUUCGGGUUGUAACCGCUUUCGCCUGUGACGAAGCGUGAGUGACGGUAAUGGGUAAAGAAGCACCGGCUAACUACGUG